GAUGAACGCUGGCGGCGUGCUUAACACAUGCAAGUCGAACGGAAAGGCCCUGCUUUUGUGGGGUGCUCGAGUGGCGAACGGGUGUGUAACACGUGAGUAACCUGCCCUUGACUGUGGGAUAACUUCAGGAAACUGGGGCUAAUACCGGAUAGGUGCUCCUGCUGCAUGGUGGGGUUUGGACAGUUUAGGCGGUUGGGGAUGGACUUGCGGCUUAUCAGCUUGUGGGUGGGGUACUGGCUUACCAAGGCUUUGGCGGGUAGCCGGCCUGAGAGGGUGACCGCCCACAUGGGGACUGAGGGACGGCCCAGACUCCUACGGGGGGCAGCAGGGGGGAAUAUUGCACAAUGGGCGGAAGCGUGUUACAGCGACGCCGCGUGCGGGAUGACGGCCUUCGGGUUGUAAACCGCUUUCGCCUGUGACGAAGCGGUAGUGACGGUAAUGGGUGAAGAAGCACCGGCUAACUACGUG
rnacentral:rRNA from 1 species